GAUGAAGAACGCAGCGAAAUGCGAUAAGUAGUGUGAAUUGCAGAAUUCAGUGAAUCAUCGAAUUUUUGAACGCACAUUGCGCCCCUUGGUAUUCCAUGGGGCAUGCCUGUUCGAGCGUCAUUUGUACCUUCAAGCUUUGCUUGGUGUUGGGUGUUUGUCCCGAGGGACUCGCCUUAAAGUAAUUGGCAGCCAGUGUUUGGUUUUGAAGCGCAGCACAAGUCGCGAUUCAAGGCUACACGCCCGCUUCCACAAGCCUUUUUUCACUUUUGACCUCGGAUCAGGUAGGGAUACCCGCUGAACUUAAGCAUAUCAAUAAGCGGAGGA
rnacentral:misc_RNA from 1 species